rnacentral:rRNA from 1 species
AUUGAACGCUGGCGGCAUGCCUUACACAUGCAAGUCGAACGGUAACAGGUCUUCGGAUGCUGACGAGUGGCGAACGGGUGAGUAAUACAUCGGAACGUGCCUAGUAGUGGGGGAUAACUACUCGAAAGAGUGGCUAAUACCGCAUGAGAUCUAUGGAUGAAAGCAGGGGAUCGCAAGACCUUGUGCUACUAGAGCGGCCGAUGGCAGAUUAGGUAGUUGGUGGGAUAAAAGCUUACCAAGCCGACGAUCUGUAGCUGGUCUGAGAGGGCGAUCAGCCACACUGGGACUGAGACACGGCCCAGACUCCUACGGGAGGCAGCAGUGGGGAAUUUUGGACAAUGGGCGAAAGCCUGAUCCAGCAAUGCCGCGUGCAGGAUGAAGGCCUUCGGGUUGUAAACUGCUUUUGUACGGAACGAAAAGCCCCGGGUUAAUACCCUGGGGUCAUGACGGUACCGUAAGAAUAAGCACCGGCUAACUACGUGCCAGCAGCCGCCGUAA